GUUGUAUGGUUAAGUGACUAAGCGUACACGGUGGAUGCCUUGGCAGUCAGAGGCGAUGAAAGACGUAGUAACUUGCGAUAAGCCCAGAUUAGGUAGUAACAACCAUUUGAGUCUGGGAUUUCUGAAUGGGGAAACCCACGUGCAUAAGCACGUAUCCUUACCUGAAUACAUAGGGUAAGGAGGCGAACCGGGGGAACUGAAACAUCUAAGUACCCCGAGGAAAAGAAAUCAACCGAGAUUCCGAAAGUAGCGGCGAGCGAAAUUGGACUAGCCCUUAAGCUUUACACGCGUUAGACGAACGGUCUGGAAAGUCCGACGAUACAGGGUGAUAGUCCCGUAGUUGACGACGUGUGUUCAGUGAAAUCGAGUAGGGCGGGACACGUGAUAUCCUGUCUGAAUAUGGGGGGACCAUCCUCCAAGGCUAAAUACUACUGACUGACCGAUAGUGAACCAGUACCGUG
rnacentral:rRNA from 1 species